UACGAAGGUCCCGAGCGUUAUCCGGAUUUAUUGGGUUUAAAGGGUGCGUAGGCGGGUUAUUAAGUCAGUGGUGAAAGCCUACAGCUUAACUGUAGAAUUGCCAUUGAUACUGAUGACCUUGAGUAUGAUUGAGGUUGGCGGAAUGUGUCAUGUAGCGGUGAAAUGCUUAGAUAUCGGAAGGAACAUCAGUGGCGAAAGCGACUUCCUGGACCAAUACUGACGCUCAUGUGCGAAAGCGUGGGGAGCAAACAGG
rnacentral:rRNA from 1 species